rnacentral:rRNA from 1 species
ACGUACUGAUGCAGAGAAAGUUCAAGUUCCUAUCUGAUCUGGGAAGCUAAGCAGGGUCAGCCCUGGUUAGUACAUGCAUGGGAGACCACCAAUGAAUACCAGGGCUGUAUGGC